GGAAACUUGAAAACUACCGUUGAAUCGAAAAAUGGACGUCCAAGAUUCGUCCAUAUUAUUACGAGUAAAAAAAUUUACUCACAAUAAAAAAAUUUACUCAUGAGUAAACCCGUAAGUAAAAUUUUUACUUGUAAUGAUGACGUGAACGAAUCUAGAACGUCCAUUUUUCAAUCGAACGGUAAUUUAUAAGUUUCC
rnacentral:pre_miRNA from 3 species